rnacentral:rRNA from 1 species
UACGAAGGGGGCUAGCGUUGCUCGGAAUUACUGGGCGUAAAGGGCGCGUAGGCGGCGCUGUUAGUCAGGCGUGAAAUUCCUGGGCUCAACCUGGGGACUGCGCUUGAUACGGCAGUGCUUGAGGAUGGAAGAGGCUCGCGGAAUUCCCAGUGUAGAGGUGAAAUUCGUAGAUAUUGGGAAGAACACCGGUGGCGAAGGCGGCGAGCUGGUCCAUUACUGACGCUGAGGCGCGACAGCGUGGGGAGCAAACAGG